rnacentral:rRNA from 1 species
AUUGAACGCUGGCGGCAGGCCUAACACAUGCAAGUCGAACGAGUGGCGGACGGGUGAGUAAUGACUGGGAAAGUGCGUGAUGGAGGGGGAUAACUACCGGAAACUGUUGCUAAUACCGCAUUCAAUAAGAUGUGCCCAGAUGGGAUUAGCUUGUUGGUGGGGUAACGGCACACCAAGGCGACGAUCCCUAGCUGGUCUGAGAGGAUGACCAGCCACACUGGAACUGAGACACGGUCCAGACUCCUACGGGAGGCAGCAGUGGGGAAUAUUGCACAAUGGGCGAAAGCCUGAUCCAGCCAUGCCGCGUGUAUGAAGAAGGCCUUCGGAUUGUAAAGUACUUUCAGCGGGGAGGCGUUACCCGCAGAAGAAGCACCGGCUAACUCCGUGCCAGCCGCCGCGGUAAUAC